CAGGUGUCGUGAAAACUACCCCUAAAAGCCAAAAUGGGAAAGGAAAAGACUCAUAUCAACAUUGUCGUCAUUGGACACGUAGAUUCGGGCAAGUCCACCACUACUGGCCAUCUGAUCUAUAAAUGCGGUGGCAUCGACAAAAGAACCAUUGAAAAAUUUGAGAAGGAGGCUGCUGAGAUGGGAAAGGGCUCCUUCAAGUAUGCCUGGGUCUUGGAUAAACUGAAAGCUGAGCGUGAACGUGGUAUUACCAUUGAUAUCUCCUUGUGGAAAUUUGAGACCAGCAAGUACUAUGUGACUAUCAUUGAUGCCCCAGGACACAGAGACUUCAUCAAAAACAUGAUUACAGGGACAUCUCAGGCUGACUGUGCUGUCCUGAUUGUUGCUGCUGGUGUUGGUGAAUUUGAAGCUGGUAUCUCCAAGAAUGGGCAGACCCGAGAGCAUGCCCUUCUGGCUUACACACUGGGUGUGAAACAACUAAUUGUCGGUGUUAACAAAAUGGAUUCCACUGAGCCACCCUACAGCCAGAAGAGAUAUGAGGAAAUUGUUAAGGAAGUCAGCACUUACAUUAAGAAAAUUGGCUACAACCCCGACACAGUAGCAUUUGUGCCAAUUUCUGGUUGGAAUGGUGACAACAUGCUGGAGCCAAGUGCUAACAUGCCUUGGUUCAAGGGAUGGAAAGUCACCCGUAAGGAUGGCAAUGCCAGUGGAACCACGCUGCUUGAGGCUCUGGACUGCAUCCUACCACCAACUCGUCCAACUGACAAGCCCUUGCGCCUGCCUCUCCAGGAUGUCUACAAAAUUGGUGGUAUUGGUACUGUUCCUGUUGGCCGAGUGGAGACUGGUGUUCUCAAACCCGGUAUGGUGGUCACCUUUGCUCCAGUCAACGUUACAACGGAAGUAAAAUCUGUCGAAAUGCACCAUGAAGCUUUGAGUGAAGCUCUUCCUGGGGACAAUGUGGGCUUCAAUGUCAAGAAUGUGUCUGUCAAGGAUGUUCGUCGUGGCAACGUUGCUGGUGACAGCAAAAAUGACCCACCAAUGGAAGCAGCUGGCUUCACUGCUCAGGUAACAAUUUAAAGUAACAUUAACUUAUUCCAGAGGCUAAAGUCAUUUCAGACUUUGGAUUUGCACUGAACGCAAAUCUUUUUUCCAAGGUGAUUAUCCUGAACCAUCCAGGCCAAAUAAGCGCCGGCUAUGCCCCUGUAUUGGAUUGCCACACGGCUCACAUUGCAUGCAAGUUUGCUGAGCUGAAGGAAAAGAUUGAUCGCCGUUCUGGUAAAAAGCUGGAAGAUGGCCCUAAAUUCUUGAAGUCUGGUGAUGCUGCCAUUGUUGAUAUGGUUCCUGGCAAGCCCAUGUGUGUUGAGAGCUUCUCAGACUAUCCACCUUUGGGUCGCUUUGCUGUUCGUGAUAUGAGACAGACAGUUGCGGUGGGUGUCAUCAAAGCAGUGGACAAGAAGGCUGCUGGAGCUGGCAAGGUCACCAAGUCUGCCCAGAAAGCUCAGAAGGCUAAAUGAAUAUUAUCCCUAAUACCUGCCACCCCACUCUUAAUCAGUGGUGGAAGAACGGUCUCAGAACUGUUUGUUUCAAUUGGCCAUUUAAGUUUAGUAGUAAAAGACUGGUUAAUGAUAACAAUGCAUCGUAAAACCUUCAGAAGGAAAGGAGAAUGUUUUGUGGACCACUUUGGUUUUCUUUUUUGCGUGUGGCAGUUUUAAGUUAUUAGUUUUUAAAAUCAGUACUUUUUAAUGGAAACAACUUGACCAAAAAUUUGUCACAGAAUUUUGAGACCCAUUAAAAAAGUUAAAUGA
rnacentral:sRNA from 1 species